rnacentral:lncRNA from 1 species
GUCUGAGUCCGUUACUCUGCAAGGUCAGUUCUUCCUCCAAAACAGGAGUGUUGAAACUAUGCCAUGGUCCAGAGGUCCUCUGCUCUGCAAAUCCAGAUCUCUUGGCUUCUCCACUUGGGACUCGAGGCUCUGCUUUCUCAGCCUCCGGAGACUGCCGAUUCAGCUUGAGUAAGUCCCGUGAUUUCGCCUGGAAACUUCUCCAGGAGAUGAGCUGCCUGACCUCAUUUGUGUUUUCUG